UGGGGAAUAUUGCACAAUGGGCGAAAGCCUGAUGCAGCAACGCCGCGUGAGUGACGAAGGCCUUCGGGUUGUAAAGCUCUGUCUUUUGGGACGAUAAUGACGGUACCAAAGGAGGAAGCCACGGCUAACUACGUGCCAGCAGCCGCGGUAAUACGUAGGUGGCAAGCGUUGUCCGGAUUUACUGGGCGUAAAGGAUGCGUAGGCGGAUUUUUAAGUGAGAUGUGAAAACCCUAAGCUUAACUUGGGGACUGCAUUUCAUACUGGAAAUCUAGAGUGCGGAGAGGAGAAUGGAAUUCCUAGUGUAGCGGUGAAAUGCGUAGAGAUUAGGAAGAACACCAGUGGCGAAGGCGAUUCUCUGGACCGUAACUGACGCUGAGGCAUGAAAGCGUGGGUAGCAAAACAGGAUUAGAUACCCUGGUAGUCCACGCCGUAAACGAUGAGUACUAGGUGUAGGAGGUAUCGACCCC
rnacentral:rRNA from 1 species